GGUAAGGACGGGAAUCCUGGGGCUCCUGGCCCUCCUGGAUCAACAGGGUUGAAGGGUGAAGAGGGCCCAGUCGGACUGAGAGGGGAGCUUGGUCUAAAAGGGGACAAGGGAGACAGAGGGCAGCCAGGUUUACUCGGAGAACCAGGACUCCCUGGAC